rnacentral:rRNA from 1 species
UACGUAGGGGGCUAGCGUUGUCCGGAAUCAUUGGGCGUAAAGAGCGUGUAGGCGGCCCGGUAAGUCCGCUGUGAAAGCCCCGGGCUCAACCUGGGAAUGGCGAUGGAAACUGGCGGGCUGGAGUAUGGCAGAGGGGGGUGGAAUUCCGCGUGUAGCAGUGAAAUGCGUAGAGAUGCGGAGGAACACCGAUGGCGAAGGCAGCCCCCUGGGCCAAUACUGACGCUCAGGCACGAAAGCGUGGGGAGCAAACAGG